AGCGCCCCAAAUAUAGCUAAAAUCAGUUCGAAAGUUCUAGGCACCAAAAAAAUUUUUUUUGUAGGCCUGUGUUAUAAAAUUAAACCAAAGUAGCUUAUGCAAUGGUAAUAAUUAUAGCAACAGCAGUAUUACAUAAGAUAGCAAGGCUGACUAAUGAUGAUGAUCCAUCAGAGGACGUUACCUUACAUCAUUUCUUAAGUGAAAAACGCUCAUUAAAUCCUCAGUAUAGUGUAUAUGAAGAUAUACCUGUGAUCACUACUGGAAGUGGAACUAUUGCAACAACUAGAGUGAGAGAAAAUAUUAUAAUAAAUCAUUUUACAUACUAAACAGGAAUUAUUUUUAUAAACAGUUUGUUGUAUCUGUCA
rnacentral:lncRNA from 1 species